ACCUGAGAAGAAGCACUAAAUGAGCAUGAGCUCCACUGGGCCAGUAAAUCAUCUACAGUUUAUUCUUGUUUAUUAUUGAUUAUUCAACUAUGCCAUCGCGUCUCCAACCUCACAAUUAACUGUGAUCGCAGGGUGCGAACUGGGGGAGGCGCUGUUGCUGCUCUUAUGCAGCGCUUCCUCUGCUGAGCUACCAGAGAUUUACUAAUGUAACCUGAAAAGUGGAACCCCCAGCUCAGCCAAUCAUAUCAGACCUCAUAAGAUGUAAGCCAAUCAUAUCAGACCUUGUAAGCAGUGAGCCAAUCAUAUCAAACCACUCACUAUAUGGUCAGUCUGCGAGUUGGGCCUCAUCUCCUGAAUGGCUCGUCCUGAUUGGCCGUCGAUGCAGGAGCGGGACCCGCAGAUGACAGAGAUGUGGAUUGAGGGGUCGAUCAUCUCCAUGCGCUGCAUCAUGGGCCGCUGAGCCCAGCCGUACGGGAUCGUCAUGUUCUUAAAGGCGGUCUCACCACUGCUGGACACCAGACACAGAGAACGAAGAAACACAGAAAAUCAUCAACCAGCUUCUAAGACUGAACUUUGGAGGUGUGUCUGCAGAUUCUUUGAGGAGCUGAAAGAGAGUCUCCUGAACAGAAUGGAAGCUGGAAUAAAGGUGAAGAGUGACUCACUGACUCACACAGCUGAGAGUAGAUUAGCUGUGGAGGAUUCUGUUUUCUGCUGAAAAAUGAAUAACUGAAAGUGAAA